UACGGGGGGGGGCAAGCGUUGUUCGGAAUUACUGGGCGUAAAGCGUGCGCAGGCGGCUAUGUAAGACAGUUGUGAAAUCCCCGGGCUCAACCUGGGAACUGCAUCUGUGACUGCAUAGCUAGAGUACGGUAGAGGGGGAUGGAAUUCCGCGUGUAGCAGUGAAAUGCGUAGAUAUGCGGAGGAACACCGAUGGCGAAGGCAAUCCCCUGGACCUGUACUGACGC
rnacentral:rRNA from 1 species